CCCAGCAGUAGGCAAAUAUCCAGGCUGCCUUAUACCUGGGCAAGUGUUAAUACUGCUGGGAGAAAAGCAGCCAAUAGCUGCCAGGCAUUCUGGGCCUGGUUAAUGCCAAAUUU
rnacentral:snoRNA from 1 species